rnacentral:misc_RNA from 1 species
GUUGAUGGUUGUCCGGUGAACUAAUCAUAUUGUUCUUCUGCUUAUCACAGUAUAGAUUUAGCAUAAAAUACAAGAGUAGGAGCAGGAAUGAACUACGAGAAUGGGAAGAUUAUGACAACUGAAGGUUCAAUGUGUAAUAUAAUUUCACCAUAAAUUCUGCUUUGUAAGUUCACUGUUAUAAGUUUAUGAAUUUUUCUUACCUGAACUACUAGGUCUACAUAAUCAAGAUACAAAACUUUAGUAGAAUUCACUUAUUAAAUACAUGGGUCUCACAUAUUUAUACAAUUCAUGAUAGAUCGGAUAUGUAACUUAAGUGCUUAAUCAUUUUAUUCU